rnacentral:rRNA from 1 species
AGAGUUUGAUCCUGGCUCAGGAUGAACGCUAGCGGCGGGCUUAAUACAUGCAAGUCAAGGGGUAGCAAUACACCGGCGUACGGGUGCGUAACGCGUAUGGAACCUGCCCUUAUCUGGGGGAUAACUCGGGGAAACUCGAGCUAAUACCGCAUAAGAUAGUAGAAUGGCAUCAUUCAGCUAUUAAAGAUUUAUUGGAUAAGGAUGGCCAUGCGUAAGAUUAGAUAGUUGGCGAGGUAACGGCUCACCAAGUCUACGAUCUUUAGGGGCUCUGAGAGGAGAAUCCCCCACACUGGCACUGAGAUACGGGCCAGACUCCUACGGGAGGCAGCAGUAGGGAAUAUUGGGCAAUGGGCGGAAGCCUGACCCAGCCACGCCGCGUGCAGGAAGACGGCCCUCUGGGUUGUAAACUGCUUUUAACUGGGAAGAAAAGAGGCCUUGCGAGGCAAGUUGACGGUACCAGUUGAAUAAGCCACGGCUAACUACGUGCCAGCAGCCGCGGUAAUACGUAGGUGGCGAGCGUUAUCCGGAUUUAUUGGGUUUAAAGGGAGCGUAGGCGGCUGAUUAAGUCAGCGGUGAAAGGUAGCAGCUUAACUGUUUUACAUGCCGUUGAUACUGGUUAGCUUGAGUUGACAGAAGGCAGAUAGAAUUCCUGAUGUAGCGGUGAAAUGCUUAGAUAUCAGGAGGAAUACCGAUUGCGAAGGCAGUCUGCUGCAGUCACACUGACGCUGAGGCUCGAAGGUGCGGGGAUCAAACAGGAUUAGAUACCCUGGUAGUCCGCACAGUAAACGAUGAUUACUAGAUGUUGGCCAAGCCAGUGUCCAAGGAAACCGAUAGUAAUCCACCUGGGGAGUACGCCGGCACGGUGAACUCAAGGAUUGACGGGGGUCCGCACAGCGGUGGAGCAUGUGGUUUAAUUCGAUGAU